rnacentral:piRNA from 2 species
UAAAGUUUUAUUGGAAUACAGUCUUACAC